CGCGUGCAGGAAGAAGGCUUCGGGUUGUAAACUGCUUUUGUACGGAACGAAAAGGUCUGCCCUAAUACGGCGGGCCCAUGACGGUACCGUAAGAAUAAGCACCGGCUAACUACGUGCCAGCAGCCGCGGUAAUACGUAGGGUGCGAGCGUUAAUCGGAAUUACUGGGCGUAAAGCGUGCGCAGGCGGUGAUGUAAGACAGUUGUGAAAUCCCCGGGCUCAACCUGGGAAUUGCAUCUGUGACUGCAUCGCUAGAGUACGGUAGAGGGGGAUGGAAUUCCGCGUGUAGCAGUGAAAUGCGUAGAUAUGCGGAGGAACACCGAUGGCGAAGCAAUCCCCUGGACCUGUACUGACGCUCAUGCACGAAAGCGUGGGGACAAACAGGAUUAGAUACCCUGGUAUCCACGCCCUAACGAUGUCACUGGUUGUUGGGUGCAUUAA
rnacentral:rRNA from 1 species